GACGAACGCUGGCGGCGUGCUUAACACAUGCAAGUCGAGCGGUAAGGCCCUUUCGGGGGUACACGAGCGGCGAACGGGUGAGUAACACGUGGGUGACCUGCCCUCAGCUCUGGGAUAAGCCUGGGAAACCGGGUCUAAUACCGGAUAUGACUCCAUGACGCAUGUUGUGGGGUGAAAGCCUUGUGCGGCUGGAGAGUCGGGCCCGCG
rnacentral:rRNA from 1 species